UACGGAGGGUGCAAGCGUUAUCCGGAUUCACUGGGUUUAAAGGGUGCGUAGGAGGGCAGGUAAGUCAGUGGUGAAAUCCCCGAGCUUAACUUGGGACUGCCGUUGAUACUAUCUGUCUUGAAUGCUGUGGAGGUGAGCGGAAUAUGUCAUGUAGCGGUGAAAUGCUUAGAUAUGACAUAGAACACCAAUUGCGAAGGCAGCUCGCUACACAGUUAUUGACUCUGAGGCACGAAAGCGUGGGGAUCAAACAGG
rnacentral:rRNA from 1 species